UAGCAGUUAUUUAUACACGAUGAACACUGAAGGUAUUUUUUAAUUUAAUUUUAUUAUUUGUUUUAGUUGAUUAAUUUCAUUUAUUUAUUUUCUAUUUUUUUAAACGAUUUCAUGUUUAUUUGAUUUUGAGAAAGUUGUUCUUUUGCAGUGUUAAUUUUUAUUCUUUCAAUUGUUGUUUAUAUUUUCUUUGAGUUGCAUAUCCAAAUUAUGUAAUUGUUUAAGUGCAUGGCAAAAAUUCUGUAUUGCACAGAAGAUUAAUUCUUGUUUUUUAUUUUUCUAGUUACAAUUUUUUGAUUUCAGUUUUUAAAUGUUUACCUUCAAAUUAGUAGCAAAAAUUCGACCUUUUCAUGUUUGAUCCAAAGGUUGUAUACCAUAUGUCAACUGCAUA
rnacentral:lncRNA from 1 species